GUGUCUCGAGACUAGGACGUGGCUCCAGGAGUGCUCGGGCCAGCUGGUCCUUUUCCCGUCCCUCCCCGUGAAGGAGGGAGGCUGGUAGCUUUGCCAGCAGCUGCACCGCGGCAGGGGUGGCCCAUGGACCUGCCCGAGGGCCCGGUGGGUGGCCCCACUGCGGAAAGAAAGAGGUAACACCAACCCCAUUUUCCAGAGGAAGAAACCGAGGCCCAAGAGAAGUUGAGUCCAUUGCCCCAAGUGCCACCACUUGUCUGAGGCCAAGCCUCGGUUUCCCCCUGGAUCUACCCAGUCCUGCAGCCUGUGCUCAGUGAGCUGCUGCACCCAGCUGUUCAAGGCCAGGGCAGGGAGCCUAGAAGGUCACUUCCAGCCCUGGGAGAGAGGCUGGGCCAGCCCAGUGGCUCCUGCAGUUGAGAAUCUCUCCCUAUGUCAUGGAGCAUUUGUUGAGCACCUGCCAUCUGCAGGUGUUGUGGCUACAACAGUAGACAAAUAGACCCCAGGACGUGUGUGUGUGUGUGUGUGUGUGUACAUGUGUGUGCUUCACAUACAC
rnacentral:sRNA from 1 species